rnacentral:rRNA from 1 species
GGGUUGUGAGGUUAAGCGACUAAGCGUACACGGUGGAUGCCCUGGCAGUCAGAGGCGAUGAAGGACGUGCUAAUCUGCGAAAAGCGUCGGUAAGGUGAUAUGAACCGUUAUAGCCGGCGAUGUCCGAAUGGGGAAACCCAGUGCAAUUCGUUGCACUAUCGUUAACUGAAUACAUAGGUUAACGAGGCGAACCGGGGGAACUGAAACAUCUAAGUACCCCGAGGAAAAGAAAUCAACCGAGAUUCCCCCAGUAGCGGCGAGCGAACGGGGAGCAGCCCAGAGUCUGAAUCAGCUUGUGUGUUAGUGGAACGGUCUGGAAAGUCCGACGGUACAGGGUGAUAGUCCCGUACACCAAAAUGCACAGGUUGUGAACUCGAAGAGUAGGGCGGGACACGUGGUAUCCUGUCUGAAUAUGGGGGGACCAUCCUCCAAGGCUAAAUACUCCUGACUGACCGAUAGUGAACCAGUACCGUGAGGGAAAGGCGAAAAGAACCCCGGCGAGGGGAGUGAAAAAGAACCUGAAACCGUGUACGUACAAGCAGUGGGAGCCUCUUUAUGGGGUGACUGCGUACCUUUUGUAUAAUGGGUCAGCGACUUAUAUUCUGUAGCAAGGUUAACCGUAUAGGGGAGCCGCAGGGAAACCGAGUCUUAACUGGGCGUUAAGUUGCAGGGUAUAGACCCGAAACCCGGUGAUCUAGCCAUGGGCAGGUUGAAGGUUGGGUAACACUAACUGGAGGACCGAACCGACUAAUGUUGAAAAAUUAGCGGAUGACUUGUGGCUGGGGGUGAAAGGCCAAUCAAACCGGGAGAUAGCUGGUUCUCCCCGAAAGCUAUUUAGGUAGCGCCUCGUGAAUUCAUCUUCGGGGGUAGAGCACUGUUUCGGCUAGGGGGUCAUCCCGACUUACCAACCCGAUGCAAACUACGAAUACCGAAGAAUGUUAUCACGGGAGACACACGGCGGGUGCUAACGUCCGUCGUGAAGAGGGAAACAACCCAGACCGCCAGCUAAGGUCCCAAAGUCAUGGUUAAGUGGGAAACGAUGUGGGAAGGCACAGACAGCCAGGAUGUUGGCUUAGAAGCAGCCAUCAUUUAAAGAAAGCGUAAUAGCUCACUGGUCGAGUCGGCCUGCGCGGAAGAUGUAACGGGGCUAAACCAUGCACCGAAGCUGCGGCAGCGACACUAUGUGUUGUUGGGUAGGGGAGCGUUCUGUAAGCCUGCGAAGGUGACCUGUGAGGGUUGCUGGAGGUAUCAGAAGUGCGAAUGCUGACAUAAGUAACGAUAAAGCGGGUGAAAAGCCCGCUCGCCGGAAGACCAAGGGUUCCUGUCCAACGUUAAUCGGGGCAGGGUGAGUCGACCCCUAAGGCGAGGCCGAAAGGCGUAGUCGAUGGGAAACAGGUUAAUAUUCCUGUACUUGGUGUUACUGCGAAGGGGGGACGGAGAAGGCUAUGUUAGCCGGGCGACGGUUGUCCCGGUUUAAGCAUGUAGGCGGAGGUUCCAGGUAAAUCCGGUACCUUUUAACGCUGAGGUGUGAUGACGAGGCACUACGGUGCUGAAGUAACAAAUGCCCUGCUUCCAGGAAAAGCCUCUAAGCAUCAGGUAACAUUAAAUCGUACCCCAAACCGACACAGGUGGUCAGGUAGAGAAUACCAAGGCGCUUGAGAGAACUCGGGUGAAGGAACUAGGCAAAAUGGUGCCGUAACUUCGGGAGAAGGCACGCUGAUAGGUAGGUGAAGCCCCUGCGGGUGGAGCUGAAAUCAGUCGAAGAUACCAGCUGGCUGCAACUGUUUAUUAAAAACACAGCACUGUGCAAACACGAAAGUGGACGUAUACGGUGUGACGCCUGCCCGGUGCCGGAAGGUUAAUUGAUGGGGUUAUCCGUAAGGAGAAGCUCUUGAUCGAAGCCCCGGUAAACGGCGGCCGUAACUAUAACGGUCCUAAGGUAGCGAAAUUCCUUGUCGGGUAAGUUCCGACCUGCACGAAUGGCGUAAUGAUGGCCAGGCUGUCUCCACCCGAGACUCAGUGAAAUUGAACUCGCUGUGAAGAUGCAGUGUACCCGCGGCAAGACGGAAAGACCCCGUGAACCUUUACUAUAGCUUGACACUGAACAUUGAGCCUUGAUGUGUAGGAUAGGUGGGAGGCUUUGAAGCGUGGACGCCAGUCUGCGUGGAGCCAACCUUGAAAUACCACCCUUUAAUGUUUGAUGUUCUAACGUAGACCCCUAAUCGGGGUUGCGGACAGUGUCUGGUGGGUAGUUUGACUGGGGCGGUCUCCUCCCAAAGAGUAACGGAGGAGCACGAAGGUUAGCUAAUCCUGGUCGGACAUCAGGAGGUUAGUGCAAUGGCAUAAGCUAGCUUGACUGCGAGCGUGACGGCGCGAGCAGGUGCGAAAGCAGGUCAUAGUGAUCCGGUGGUUCUGAAUGGAAGGGCCAUCGCUCAACGGAUAAAAGGUACUCCGGGGAUAACAGGCUGAUACCGCCCAAGAGUUCAUAUCGACGGCGGUGUUUGGCACCUCGAUGUCGGCUCAUCACAUCCUGGGGCUGAAGUAGGUCCCAAGGGUAUGGCUGUUCGCCAUUUAAAGUGGUACGCGAGCUGGGUUUAGAACGUCGUGAGACAGUUCGGUCCCUAUCUGCCGUGGGCGCUGGAGAAUUGAGGGGGGCUGCUCCUAGUACGAGAGGACCGGAGUGGACGCAUCACUGGUGUUCGGGUUGUCAUGCCAAUGGCAUUGCCCGGUAGCUAAAUGCGGAAGAGAUAAGUGCUGAAAGCAUCUAAGCACGAAACUUGCCCCGAGAUGAGUUCUCCCUGAGACUUUAAGUCUCCUGAAGGAACGUUGAAGACGACGACGUUGAUAGGCCGGGUGUGUAAGCGCAGCGAUGCGUUGAGCUAACCGGUACUAAUGAACCGUGAGGCUUAACCUUACAACGCCGAAG